rnacentral:rRNA from 1 species
UCCAGACUCCUACGGGAGGCAGCAGUGGGGAAUAUUGCACAAUGGGGGAAACCCUGAUGCAGCAACGCCGCGUGAGUGAAGAAGUAUUUCGGUAUGUAAAGCUCUAUCAGCAGGGAAGAAGAAGGACGGUACCUGACUAAGAAGCCCCGGCUAACUACGUGCCAGCAGCCGCGGUAAUACGUAGGGGGCGAGCGUUAUCCGGAUUUACUGGGUGUAAAGGGAGCGUAGACGGUUAAUCAAGUCUGAAGUGAAAGCCCGCGGCUCAACUGCGGAACGGCUUUGGAAACUGAGUAACUGGAGUGCUGGAGGGGCAGGCGGAAUUCCUGGUGUAGCGGCGAAAUGCAUAGAUAUCACGCAGAACUCCGAUUGCGAAGGCAGCGUACCGGCGCCCAACUGACGCUGAAGCACGAAGGCGUGGGUAUCGAACAGGAUUAGAUACCCCGGUAUC